rnacentral:rRNA from 1 species
UACGGAGGGUGCAAGCGUUAGGCGGAAUCACUGGGCUUAAAGCGUGUGUAGGCGGAUCGUUAAGUGUCUUGUGAAAUCCCACGGCUCACCCGUGGAACUGCUGGGCAUACUGGCGAUCUUGGGCCAACUAGGGGCAGUCGGAACAAGCGGUGGAGCGGUGAAAUGCGUAGAUAUCGCUUGGAACGCCGAAGGUGAAAACAGACUGCUGGGGUUGCGCCGACGCUGAGACACGAAAGCCAGGGGAGCAAACGGG